CCAACUGCUCCGAACUCCAGUUCCGGGUGAGUCUCUGGGAACCUAGACUCAUACGGGGAGAAACUGGGCUGUCUGGCAGCAGGCGGA
rfam:Myotis brandtii contig257559, whole genome shotgun sequence.